rnacentral:rRNA from 1 species
AGAGUUUGAUCCUGGCUCAGAUUGAACGCUGGCGGAAUGCUUUACACAUGCAAGUCGAACGGCAGCACGGGAGCUUGCUCCUGGUGGCGAGUGGCGAACGGGUGAGUAAUGCGUCGGAACGUACCGAGUAAUGGGGGAUAACGCACCGAAAGGUGUGCUAAUACCGCAUACGCCCUCCGGGGGAAAGCAGGGGAUCGUAAGACCUUGCGUUAUUCGAGCGGCCGACGUCUGAUUAGCUAGUUGGUGGGGUAAAGGCCUACCAAGGCGACGAUCAGUAGCGGGUCUGAGAGGAUGAUCCGCCACACUGGAACUGAGACACGGUCCAGACUCCUACGGGAGGCAGCAGUGGGGAAUUUUGGACAAUGGGGGCAACCCUGAUCCAGCCAUUCCGCGUGAGUGAAGAAGGCCUUCGGGUUGUAAAGCUCUUUCAGCUGGAACGAAACGGUACGCUCUAACAUAGCGUGCUAAUGACGGUACCAGCAGAAGAAGCACCGGCUAACUACGUGCCAGCAGCCGCGGUAAUACGUAGGGUGCGAGCGUUAAUCGGAAUUACUGGGCGUAAAGCGUGCGCAGGCGGAUUGUUAAGCAAGACGUGAAAUCCCCGGGCUUAACCUGGGAAUGGCGUUUUGAACUGGCAGUCUAGAGUGUGUCAGAGGGGGGUAGAAUUCCACGUGUAGCAGUGAAAUGCGUAGAGAUGUGGAGGAAUACCAAUGGCGAAGGCAGCCCCCUGGGAUAACACUGACGCUCAUGUACGAAAGCGUGGGUAGCAAACAGGAUUAGAUACCCUGGUAGUCCACGCCCUAAACGAUGUCAACUGGUUGUUGGGGGAGUGAAAUCCCUUAGUAACGAAGCUAACGCGUGAAGUUGACCGCCUGGGGAGUACGGUCGCAAGAUUAAAACUCAAAGGAAUUGACGG